AUUGAACGCUGGCGGCAGGCCUAACACAUGCAAGUCGAACGGGAGGCGGAAGGAUGAGUAAGGUAUGGGCAACUGCGUGAUGGAGGGGGAUAACUACUGGAAACGGUUGCUACUCCCGCCUACCAUCAAAUGUGCCGAGAUGGGAUUAGCUAGGUGGUGGGGUAACGGCGCACCAAGGCGACGAUCCCUAUCUGGUCUGAGAGGAUGACCAGCCACACUGGAACUGAGACACGGUCCAGACUCCUACGGGAGGCAGCAGUGGGGAAUAUUGCACAAUGGGCGAAAGCCUGAUGCAGCCAUGCCGCGUGUAUGAAGAAGGCCUUCGGGUUGUAAAGUACUUUUAGCGGGGAGGCGUUACCCGCAGAAGAAGCACCGGCUAACUCCGUGCCAGCAGCCGCGGUAAUUC
rnacentral:rRNA from 1 species